UACGGGGGGGGCAAGCGUUGUUCGGAAUUACUGGGCGUAAAGGGCGCGUAGGCGGCCAUGCGUGUCUUCCGUGAAAUCCCUCGGCUUAACUGAGGACGUGCGGAAGAAACUGCAAGGCUCGAGUCCGGGAGAGGGGGGUGGAAUUCCCAGUGUAGCGGUGAAAUGCGUAGAUAUUGGGAGGAACACCGGUGGCGAAGGCGGCCCCCUGGACCGGUACUGACGCUGAUGCGCGAAAGCGUGGGUAGCAAACGGG
rnacentral:rRNA from 1 species